UGGGGAAUUUUGGACAAUGGGCGAAAGCCUGAUCCAGCAAUGCCGCGUGUGUGAAGAAGGCCUUCGGGUUGUAAAGCACUUUUGUCCGGAAAGAAAUCCUUGGCUCUAAUACAGUCGGGGGAUGACGGUACCGGAAGAAUAAGCACCGGCUAACUACGUGCCAGCAGCCGCGGUAAUACGUAGGGUGCAAGCGUUAAUCGGAAUUACUGGGCGUAAAGCGUGCGCAGGCGGUUUGCUAAGACCGAUGUGAAAUCCCCGGGCUCAACCUGGGAACUGCAUUGGUGACUGGCAGGCUAGAGUAUGGCAGAGGGGGGUAGAAUUCCACGUGUAGCAGUGAAAUGCGUAGAGAUGUGGAGGAAUACCGAUGGCGAAGGCAGCCCCCUGGGCCAAUACUGACGCUCAUGCACGAAAGCGUGGGGAGCAAAACAGGAUUAGAUACCCUGGUAGUCCACGCCCUAAAACGAUGUCAACUAGUUGUUGGGGAUUCAUUUCCUUAGUAACGUAGCUAACGCGUGAAGUUACCGCCUGGGGAGUACGGUCGCAAGAUUAAAAACUUAAAUGAAUUGACGGGGUCAUAGCUGUUUCC
rnacentral:rRNA from 1 species